CUGCCUACCCAAGUCCUAUAAAGCUGCCUCUCUCCUAUCUUCCUUCGCUGACUCUCUUUUCGGACUCAGCCCACUUGCACCCAAGUGAAUAAACAGCCUUGUUGCUUACACAAAGCCUGUUUAGGUGGUCUUCUAUAUGGAUACGCGUGACAGGCUCCUUCCUCUAGAGGGGGCUGGUUCAAGUUCUGGACUGCCGUCAAGUUAGUCAAGUUUUAAAAAUAUGGAUGACGAUAUGACCACAGUAUUUGGAGAUCAUCUAAAGCAGAAGAGAAAGCUGCAUGAAAGUGUACUGAGAGCCAGUUACUACAGGCGGACGCCACGCCAGGCUAGGACUAGGGCCGCCGGCAGAGCCUGCACUCUCCACUCACUCCCACCCUUGGGGCAGACGCCGAAUUAUGGAACAUUCUGUAUAAAGGAAAACUGUCUUAUUCUAAGGAUGACAAACAAAAUAAACAUAUUUAAAUAUUAAGUUAGAGGCAAC
rnacentral:lncRNA from 10 species